CAAAAGGAAGAGGUUUUGUAUGUAUGUAAUGUGCUUGGCUCAUCUCUCUCUGAUCUGGCCACACUUCUCAAUGUGUGCUUAUUGUAAAUUCAGACUGGCUGUGACACUUCCUGUUCAGAUAGCUCAUUUUCAUCUGAUCUCAAUUUUCCCACCCAAGGCUCAGACCACCCAUGGCAAACAAACAAAAUUACCACCAAGAGCUAAUUUUGUAAUGAAAACAAUUUGAGCAUAAAUGUGUGAAAGGCAGAAACUUCCAUGAAUCUUUUUCUUCGGAAUGAAAGUUUAGGGCCAUGAUUUAAUUCUUAAUCGAGUAAAGUUGUUUGCAUGUGUAAAAUACCGAAUAUUCUGUCCUUACUGUAGCCUUAAAUGUUGGGGGUACAGAGAAAGCUGUUUCUAUGUUGUGAUUUCUAGAUGUCAUAGAAUUUUCUAGGUUUCGGUUUUCUAGUAUUGCUUGGGUAGGGUUUUUACCUCUGUCCUGAUUGUUUGAUAUUGUAUAAAUAGGACAUGAAUGUUAAAGGGCCUUGAGAUGUAGUGACUGUAGAAGCAUGAUAGACUGUUACUGAAAAGUGUGAUUUCUGGGAGACAUUUUAGGAUUCCCAACAUGUUCUGGGCUUAUUUGGUAACAUGUAACUUAGUAUGUCCAAUUCUGCCAUCAAAAACUUUCAUUUUCUAAUAGAUUUCUUUCUGCAUGUUGGAAGCAGAAAUUACUGCCUUUAACACACAUUUUUUUAUAGGACUAAGACUUUUUAAAAUGUUUGUUUGAGUACAUUUCAAAAGCACAUCCAUGUGACUUGGAAAUUUUGAGGAAAACAUAUCAUCAUUAAAUGAAUUUAUUGGUGUUAUUUCUAGUUUCAAUGUGACCAAUAGGAAAUGGAGCGGAGUUCCAUAUGUCUGGGGACAAGAGAUCUAAUCCUAACCCAGAACACUCAUCUGGAAUGGGACAGAGCAAGUCAAGAGAUGUGUGAGUUAUGCUAGUUAUCUAGGUAUGGAGAUGUCUGGAGAAGAAAGAUUUGAUCUGAGUUCCAUGUCACCCUUGCUCUCUGGUAGACACUGAUAUUUUGAUAUUGCAUAAUUCAAGGAAGAAACACUAACUUAGAUGUCGAAAGGGUUGUGUUCAUGGGAUUGAGACAUCCAAAGGCAAGGGUGUUGUGUGGUCUACGAUUUCGGCCAGCAGCCUGUGUGGUAAAUGGCAGCCGAUCUUCAGUACCACAUUGUAAUCGACAGCCCUGUGGUGAGUGGGAAACAGAGCUUUUCCCCUUCAUCGGAUCCCGCACUCAGUCUGCUUUAGCCCAGUACUCAUAAGUGCCAUCUGUUCACAGGCUGAAAUCUGUGGAGUGAAAUCCGAAGUCACAUAGGAGACUACAAAAUACAGAUCUGUAAAGAAACCAGAGGAAGCACAGUGCAUGAAAUGAACAAAAUAAUAGCCUUGGAAAUAAAGAAAAAAACAGGAAUACAGGGCAACAGAAGGAGAACACUUCCAACGACGAGAAGCAGUGAGCUUUAAAAUAUUUCAGACAGGAAGACUUAUCUGAAUGAUUGAAAUUUAUAAGUGAGAUUUCAUAGCCCAGAGGCAUUUAAUUGUCCUAUUUGAAAGAGUGCAAGGGGUAAGGACUGGAUGCUGAGUUUCCCAGGUUGAGACAGAACUUUUGACCGCCAUUUUGAAAGUUUCUAGAACUUGUUGUCCUACUAAGCAUUUCAUUUUAGCAUUUGGACAAGUAAUAGUGCUUCUAAUGGCUGGAACAACACUGUAGACAACAUUUAAGCUUCUGUGGCCAUAAGUUCAGAUGGUAGCAUGAGCUUUCUGCGGGGUUCAGAUGUCAGCAUGAUACCACAGUUGUCCUUCCUCUGUGUUUCCAGUCCUAUGUGGGCCACUUUACAGUACAGUCUGAAUCUGAACCUAGCAUAUAUUGGUGACAACAGUGAAUAUCCCAUCCCAUGGUUAUGCAUAAAUAUUCAGUAUGUUACACAAGGAGGGAAGUAAUCAAGGCAAAUGAAGCACGUGGACACCUUGGGAGAACUCCUGUUUUGUCUCUAUAGAAGAAUGAGAGUUGUACGUGUAAUGAGUGACUACCACAGGGCACCACCUACCUUGAGAGCGUUGAAGCUCAUUUCCUCAGCUAUGAAGUGUGAGCGAAAGCAACUGCUGACAACUUCAGGUCAACCCCAAUUUGUUAUUUUUAAGGGCGUGGCUGCUUGUAGGGCCACUGUGUUUGGGUGGAUGGCCUCAUACCAGUGAAUAAGUUGGACUAGGUGGGUUGUUUAAGGCGAGGAAACAACGGAAAAGGAUACACACAAUGGGAGUAGACUUGAGAGGAGUUAGGCGGGAGACUAGAGGGUGCAUAUAAUCAAAUUAUAUCCUAGGAAUUCCUCAAGAUAGUAAUAAAAUGUAUUACAAGCCUAAAGCUAACUCAGUCGCAGUUGUGAAGGUGGACUAAAGGUGUGAAGUCUUGUUACGUCCCUGACUUAAAGUAAGGUGUCCGUAAAUAACGUAAUUACUCAUGGGGGCAUAAGCAAUUGGGUAAGAUCCCGAAGACGCCAUUGUGGAAAAAGGUGAGUUUCUCAUCGAGAAAUGAAAGUAAAUAAAAGAGACUGGGUUAUCCUAAGGACAGACUCAGUGAAAGAGUGACGGGCUCUUAGGAGGUGUUGCCAGGAAGGGCAGGAUGAGGUUGCAGUAAGAUUGCUUUCACUGGGCUUAACUCGGGCGUUAGUGCUACAAGGCAGGCAUUAUUGGUCGGGCGCGCGCUGGUACUGAGAGAGUGGGAUUUGAUGAUCUUUACGGGACCUUAACCUUUAAGUCUUGACAAACAGCUCAGGCGUUUUAAGAACCCUGGUGUGCAAAUAUUCCCCGAAUAACUGGAAAAUACAGUCUGUUUCCAAGUUUUAUGGACAUUUCGUGUUGCUUAAAGAGGUAAUUAAAGAUGGGAUUUGAGUGAGAAGAAUGUAUUUCCUCCUCCUCAUUAAAGGACUUAGAGUUCCUGAUUUAACUUCUCUGGCAUUUUGCUUUUUGAUAUUUUCUAGCGUUACUUUCCCCUUGGUUUUCUCCAAAAUGAACUAAGGACUCAAAAACCUUAAUUCUGUUGCUGGUGUCACUAAUGAAUAAUUCAGUAUGUUGGUUUAGAACGGCACUAAAGCUUUCUUAGUUUUCAAAAUAAAAUCAGAAAACUUAUCAUUGGAAGACCUUGAUCCUGUGCUCCUCAACCUGACACAUUCUGCAAAGGCAUGCAAUGAUAAUUUAUUUCUAUCAUCACUGGAGCUGAGGGAAAAGCCACAACAACUACAUUUUUCUUGAAGGCAAAUCACACACAAGAUUGCAGGUCAAGGGAAUGAAAAGGGGUGGGGGUGUGGAUCUUGCAAAAGCUGAGCUUCCCACCCCCUCCCACGGUCUCUGGGAGGUGACUUUAGUGGCUCCUAACUGAUUCUGUCACUGUGAAAUCCUACAGUCAUUCUUCCACACAUAAAGGACAAAUAGGCAGGAGAGGAGGAUCUAGAUGCUUUCAGUUUUAACUCUUCACCAAUAGUAGAAAAGGCAGAAUGCCUAAGCUAUGGUUCUGUGGCCAAUAGGAUGGCUGCGUGUCUCUCACAUGACUGCCUGUCCCUGCCUUUCGCAUGGGCUCUAAUUUAGUUCAAUUCAGAACUGCAGAUAGUACGGUGGAGCAGGGAUCCCUGAGCACAAGUGGCCGAGUUCCGAGGGACUUUAGGAAAUGCUUCUCCUCCCUUCCUGGGCAUGCAAACAAGAUUCUGCACCUGCACCGCAGUUUGUCCGAGACAGAAGCCUCUGCCUCGCCUCGCCUCGCCCGCAGGGACAAGGAACUAGAGCAAGAAGCAGCAUUUGAAAAUUGCUCUGGAUUCAAGGACCAACACAUCUCAUGAAGGAGAAAGAAGGCAGCUCCAUCGACAUGUUCAAAGGCCAUCCAGUAGGAACCACAGCCAUGUGCAUGUCCCUGAGGAACUUAAAGAGGUUGGUUUUCUGCACCCUAAAAUUAGGCUGUGAUGAAUGUACAUCCUUUCUCUGAGCUCCCUGGAAACACUAUGGUCUCUGCUGGUCAGACUUUCCUCUCUCAAUGUCUCCACAUAGAUACACUCCAACAUUUCUCUCUCUCUCUCUCUCUCUCUCUCUCUCUCUCUCUCUCUCUCUCUCUCUCUUCCUCUUUUUCUUCUCUCCCUUUUUCCUCCCCCUUUUUCUUGCUCUCCUUAGCAGAUGUCUUUUAUAAUUUAUGUUGUUUGCUAUCCUUUCAUUAGAGCUAAGCUGCUUCUUAGGCGAUCGGGCAGCCAGAGCACCUAAGUACACACUAGAGGAGAGUGAUACUCAGGAGCCGCUCGCAGUCUCAUUGGGGCACUUCUAAUAAGCAUCUUGGUGCCACUGAAUGCAAAGCUGCAUUCAAAUAACAGCUUUCAUCUUCGGUCUUUGUAAAUAUAAAAGUAACCCUUGAAACCCUUUGAAGGACCCAACCAAACAUCAUGCACAAAAAAAA
rnacentral:sRNA from 1 species